UACGUAGGGAGCAAGCGUUGUCCGGAAUCAUUGGGCGUAAAGCGCGCGUAGGCGGCCCUGUAAGUCCGUUGUGAAAGUCAAAGGCUCAACCUUUGAAAGCCGAUGGAUACUGCAGGGCUAGAGUCCGGAAGAGGCGAGUGGAAUUCCUGGUGUAGCGGUGGAAUGCGCAGAUAUCAGGAGGAACACCAAUAGCGAAGGCAGCUCGCUGGGACGGUACUGACGCUAAGGCGCGAAAGCCAGGGGAGCAAACAGG
rnacentral:rRNA from 1 species